GAACAUCUGUUUCGCAGCCUUGGCAGAUGAAUAUCGGACGUACCAGGCGUGGGUGUGCGUGACAAGCGACUGUCGCGUUCUCUGGGGCUCCUGCACCUGCAAGGUUGGCUUAACAAGAGUAUGUAGCCACGUUGGUGCUAUACUAUGGAAAAUAGAAUUUGCAAAUCGGAAAGGUCUCACGGGACAAAGUUGCACGGACAGGAGUGCCAGUUGGAACCAUGGUACCAAAAGAAAUGUCGUACCAUCACAGGUACUAGACAUGGACUUCAGCAUGGCAAAGAACAUCAGGCACGCAUCACCCACAAACAGAAAGGUCUCAGUGCCACGUUACGAGGACCACAAGACGUACGUAAAAGCUAUGAAAGAGAGUGAAAUAGCACCGCUGCUUGACAUCAGAGGCAGUUUGCUGCAUCAGACUGUUUUUGCCAGUUUGCCAUCAAAUGUGCAGACUAGUUGUUGCAGUCAAAGGGACACUGUGCCUGAACAUGGUUCCCACAAUGAGCCAGAGUUGCUUGCGUGUGAGUUGUGCUUCGAAUUCUACAGUCAGUGGGUGAAAAUCGAAGAAUCGUCAAGGCAAAGGCUCAUGAAGUUGACGUGCCAACAGAGUGGUGACCUAUGGCAAGCAAGCCGUAAGCUUCGACUCACAGCAUCAAACCUUUCCAAAGUUCCCCGCAGAAAAGACACUGCGCCGGACAAGUUCAUAAAGUCAUGCCUGUUCAGUACGUUUCGGGGCAACAAGGCAACGAGUCAUGGAAAGAAAUUUGAACCAGUCGCAAGGAAGGCCUUCGAAAAUAGCUAUGGUGUUUG